rnacentral:lncRNA from 1 species
GCAGCAGCAGGAAACUCCCAAACACGAUGCCCGUCUGCUUGAUGUCCCGCCAAUACAGCACCAUUUUACAUGGGUGUGUAAUUAGCAUGAAAGAACAAUAUUGAAAAAGUCACAUGCCCUCAUGACAAUGCAAGGCAAUAGAGGUGACAUAAGGAAUUUUUGCAGAGUAAAGUGGAGAGUAAAUCAGGUCUAAAAGAGUCUCCUUCAUAACAGGCU